GACUCUUUAGCCCAGUAGGUAGUGUGUCAGUCUCAUAAGCUGAAAGUCCUGAGUUAGACCCUGAAAAGGCG
rnacentral:tRNA from 1 species